rnacentral:rRNA from 1 species
AUGAGCGUGGUGGUCGCGCCAAGGCUGCUCCUGCCAGCCGACUUGGACCACCGCAAUUACCUCAUGGGGGCGCUGGGCGGGCGGCUGAUGGUGGUGGUUAGAGAGGCCGCACACGGUUAUGGGGCAUUGCCGUCCUUCAAGGUGCAGGUCCUUAACGCCCAUGGUGAAGAGUGGAGGGAGAUAGACGAUAUUGGCGAUGUCGCGCUGUUCGUUGGUGGGAAGAGCUCACUCUGCGUGUCGACGAGGGAGUACCCGGAGCUCAAGGCUGGAUGUAUCUACUACGCCAACGAAGGGUACGUUAACGAAUACGACGGGCGCGCCAACCGUGUCAAGGUGUUCAGCCUCAAGGACGGCGCGGCAGAGAAGGUCGAGGGCCUCAAGCGGCGCCAGAUCAACCUGCGGCCGGCGUGGUUCAUGUUGGAAUUAUGUGUCCGCAACUAUAUUCGAAGUAGGAACUCUCAGAGGGAAGGAUAUGACCAAAUUUUACUUGUUGCGCCUCCAAGAGCAAGAUAUUAUGCAAUUGGCAAAGGGGAAGCAGUGAGGCAGCAGUGUGAUGUUAAUCAGCUACCCGAUUGGGUAGGCAACAUCUGGCUUGUUGUCAACUUCGUGGUGACGGAUAGGGUCGCGGGCUAUUAUGUAGAUCCUGCUAUUAUCUCUGGAUUUCUCUCCUACAUCAUCUUUCUCGCCGGCUACCUCGUCUACAUCGCGUGCAUGCUGGCUCUGUCAGCUCUGGUGCUCUUCAUAGCCGGUGCCGGCAUCGAGAAUUCAAAGAGCUGGUGGCCCGAGCUGAUCCACACAAGCAUCGUCGGCAUCAGCCUCCUCCUGCUCAACAUGAUGUGGGGCUCGCCGUUCCACAAGCCUUCCGCCGACUCCGACACGGCGGGAGCGGCACUUGUCAGCCUCGCCGGCUACAUCGCCUACAUCCUCUGCUCCAUGGCGCUGUCCUACAACUUGUUCGGCGCAUCUUUGCUACUCAGGACCUUCACCAUCGGCCUCACCUUCACGCUAUUGGAUGUGUUCCUCAAGCCUUCCAGCUACUCUAACAUGGUGGCCACGCUUGGGACCAUCACCACGGCGCUCAUGGCCUUCUUGGUUCUGGCGGCCAUGUCCUUUCUCGUCUUCAUAUUCCUGCAGACGUGGGUCGACAUGCUGCUUCCGUCUGCCUGGCGUCACCACCCAGCACGAACCUUCGCCACCAUCGUCAGCCUCACUUUCGUGGCGAUGAAAGCCAUGUUGGACGUCGUCCUACAGGCCGUCGACGAGCCUUCCGUCGUUUCCGGCAUGAAAGCCAGGCUCCUCGGCGUCAUCGACAUGAUAAACGGUUACCCCGGCGCCUAUGCAGGGAUCAGGAACCUCACCGUUCUAGCCGUUCCCUUGUUAUCCAUGGAGUCGAUGCGCGUGGUUUCCAUGUACAGGUUGUACACCAAGGCGGCCUUGAUCGUCGCCCUAGGCCUCGUGUUAACCAUGCCGCCAGGGCUCACCACCGAGGAACCUGCCUUCAUGUUGGUUUCAGAUGAUUUCGUCCAGCAAACCAUUAACAGCUUCGUCACCUCACAAAUUCAAAUCACGGAUGCUGGAGGAACUAAGCAACUUACUAAUUAA